GUUGUACAUCACACCUGACUUCCUUAAGAUUUCUGAGGAAAUGGUAAUUGUUGCCAUCACUAGACAGAAGAAAGGAAUCUUUGUUGUGGUGGAUGAACAAUUUGAUCAUGACUUCUCAACCCCUUUUGCUUUAAAAAAAAAAAAUCAUGGUGUAAUCUUGGGUGACUUUGAAUUCAUAAAUGCUUUUAUUGAAAAGAAAAUUUCAAAUCUAAGGGUUGUUGAUGAGCAGAAGUUUGGAGGUGACUUUGAGCUUAAGAUGGAAGGUGAUCCCUUUCUUAAAUCUGAAAUGUUUAUGUUACCCAUUGAGAAAGACACUGAACCAGAACUUCAGAAUGUUGAAAUCAAGAAAGCAAAUCUCAAGACACAUAUUCCCCUGGUUGCGGGUGACCUCUUAAGGAUGCAGAAGUCUGAAAAAAUGAAAGCCAGGGAGGAUAGGGAAUUCAUUGGUUUAUGUAGCGAGCCUAGUGCUCAGUUCGCUGAGUCA
rnacentral:misc_RNA from 1 species